rnacentral:rRNA from 1 species
UACGUGGGGGGCAAGCGUUGUCCGGAAUCAUUGGGCGUAAAGCGCGUGUAGGCGGCUUGGUAAGUCCGCUCUGAAAGCCCGGGGCUCAACCCCGGGAGGCGGGUGGAUACUGUCAAGCUUGAGUCCGGAAGAGGCGAGUGGAAUUCCCGGUGUAGCGGUGAAAUGCGCAGAUAUCGGGAGGAACACCAAUGGCGAAGGCAGCUCGCUGGGACGUUACUGACGCUGAGACGCGAAAGCGUGGGGAGCAAACAGG